rnacentral:rRNA from 1 species
UACGGAGGGUGCAAGCGUUAUCCGGAUUCACUGGGUUUAAAGGGUGGCGUAGGAGGGUAGGUAAGUCAGUGGUGAAAUCUUCGAGCUUAACUCGGAAACUGCCGUUGAUACUAUCUAUCUUGAAUACCGUGGAGGUGAGCGGAAUAUGUCAUGUAGCGGUGAAAUGCUUAGAUAUGACAUAGAACACCAAUUGCGAAGGCAGCUCGCUACACGAAUAUUGACUCUGAGGCACGAAAGCGUGGGGAUCAAACAGG